GUGAAUCAUCAAAUUUUUGAACGCAAAUUGCACUCUCUUCGGAGAGGAGGCCUGUUUGAGGUUCAGCCUAAAAAAAAAUCGACAUAGUCGCUGUGUCGCGGUUACAUUCGUCGGAAAUGGGGGCAUCUUAAACCUUUGGUUGUUAAGCGGCUUAAAAUUUGCUUUACGAUUCCACGAACGUGUCGAAGAUUUACUGCUUACACGUUUGAGGUAAUCGAUCUUUAUUAUACUUGGCCGUGC
rnacentral:misc_RNA from 1 species